UAAGUUAGAAAGGGCGCACGGUGGAUGCCUUGACACUAGGAGUCGAUGAAGGACGGGACUAACGCCGAUAUGCUUCGGGGAGCUGUAAGUAAGCUUUGAUCCGAAGAUUUCCGAAUGGGGAAACCCACCAUACGUAAUGGUAUGGUAUCCUUAUCUGAAUACAUAGGGUAAGGAAGACAGACCCAGGGAACUGAAACAUCUAAGUACCUGGAGGAAGAGAAAGCAAAUGCGAUUUCCUGAGUAGCGGCGAGCGAAACGGAACAUAGCCCAAACCAAGAGGCUUGCCUCUUGGGGUUGUAGGACAUUCUAUACGGAGUUACAAAGGAACGAGGUAGACGAAGCGACCUGGAAAGGUCCGUCGUAGAGGGUAACAACCCCGUAGUCGAAACUUCGUUCUCUCUUGAAUGUAUCCUGAGUACGGCGGAACACGUGAAAUUCCGUCGGAAUCUGGGAGGACCAUCUCCCAAGGCUAAAUACUCCCUAGUGAUCGAUAGUGAACCAGUACCGUGAGGGAAAGGUGAAAAGCACCCCGGAAGGGGAGUGAAAGAGAUCCUGAAACCGUGUGCCUACAAAUAGUCAGAGCCCGUUAACGGGUGAUGGCGUGCCUUUUGUAGAAUGAACCGGCGAGUUACGAUCCCGUGCGAGGUUAAGCUGAAGAGGCGGAGCCGCAGCGAAAGCGAGUCUGAAUAGGGCGUUUAGUACGUGGUCGUAGACCCGAAACCAGGUGAUCUACCCAUGUCCAGGGUGAAGUUCAGGUAACACUGAAUGGAGGCCCGAACCCACGCACGUUGAAAAGUGCGGGGAUGAGGUGUGGGUAGCGGAGAAAUUCCAAUCGAACCUGGAGAUAGCUGGUUCUCCCCGAAAUAGCUUUAGGGCUAGCCUUAAGUGUAAGAGUCUUGGAGGUAGAGCACUGAUUGGACUAGGGGUCCUCAUCGGAUUACCGAAUUCAGUCAAACUCCGAAUGCCAAUGACUUAUCCUUAGGAGUCAGACUGCGAGUGAUAAGAUCCGUAGUCAAAAGGGAAACAGCCCAGACCGCCAGCUAAGGUCCCAAAGUGUGUAUUAAGUGGAAAAGGAUGUGGAGUUGCUUAGACAACUAGGAUGUUGGCUUAGAAGCAGCCACCAUUUAAAGAGUGCGUAAUAGCUCACUAGUCGAGUGACUCUGCGCCGAAAAUGUACCGGGGCUAAAUACACCACCGAAGCUGCGGAUUGAUACCGAAUGGUAUCAGUGGUAGGGGAGCGUUCUAAGGACAGUGAAGUCAGACCGGAAGGACUGGUGGAGUGCUUAGAAGUGAGAAUGCCGGUAUGAGUAGCGAAAGACGGGUGAGAAUCCCGUCCACCGAAUGCCUAAGGUUUCCUGAGGAAGGCUCGUCCGCUCAGGGUUAGUCAGGACCUAAGCCGAGGCCGACAGGCGUAGGCGAUGGACAACAGGUUGAUAUUCCUGUACCACCUCUUUAUCGUUUGAGCAAUGGAGGGACGCAGAAGGAUAGAAGAAGCGUGCGAUUGGUUGUGCACGUCCAAGCAGUUAGGCUGAUAAGUAGGCAAAUCCGCUUAUCGUAAAGGCUGAGCUGUGAUGGGGAAGCUCCUUAUGGAGCGAAGUCUUUGAUUCCCCGCUGCCAAGAAAAGCUUCUAGCGAGAUAAAAGGUGCCUGUACCGCAAACCGACACAGGUAGGCGAGGAGAGAAUCCUAAGGUGUGCGAGAGAACUCUGGUUAAGGAACUCGGCAAAAUGACCCCGUAACUUCGGGAGAAGGGGUGCUUUCUUAACGGAAAGCCGCAGUGAAUAGGCCCAAGCGACUGUUUAGCAAAAACACAGCUCUCUGCGAAGCCGUAAGGCGAAGUAUAGGGGGUGACACCUGCCCGGUGCUGGAAGGUUAAGGAGAGGGGUUAGCGUAAGCGAAGCUCUGAACUGAAGCCCCAGUAAACGGCGGCCGUAACUAUAACGGUCCUAAGGUAGCGAAAUUCCUUGUCGGGUAAGUUCCGACCCGCACGAAAGGUGUAACGAUUUGGGCACUGUCUCAACCAGAGACUCGGUGAAAUUAUAGUACCUGUGAAGAUGCAGGUUACCCGCGACAGGACGGAAAGACCCCGUGGAGCUUUACUGUAGCCUGAUAUUGAAUUUUGGUACAGUUUGUACAGGAUAGGCGGGAGCCUUUGAAACCGGAGCGCUAGCUUCGGUGGAGGCGCUGGUGGGAUACCGCCCUGACUGUAUUGAAAUUCUAACCUACGGGUCUUAUCGACCCGGGAGACAGUGUCAGGUGGGCAGUUUGACUGGGGCGGUCGCCUCCUAAAGUGUAACGGAGGCGCCCAAAGGUUCCCUCAGAAUGGUUGGAAAUCAUUCGUAGAGUGCAAAGGCAUAAGGGAGCUUGACUGCGAGACCUACAAGUCGAGCAGGGACGAAAGUCGGGCUUAGUGAUCCGGUGGUUCCGCAUGGAAGGGCCAUCGCUCAACGGAUAAAAGCUACCCCGGGGAUAACAGGCUUAUCUCCCCCAAGAGUCCACAUCGACGGGGAGGUUUGGCACCUCGAUGUCGGCUCAUCGCAUCCUGGGGCUGUAGUCGGUCCCAAGGGUUGGGCUGUUCGCCCAUUAAAGCGGUACGCGAGCUGGGUUCAGAACGUCGUGAGACAGUUCGGUCCCUAUCCGUCGUGGGCGUAGGAAAUUUGAGAGGAGCUGUCCUUAGUACGAGAGGACCGGGAUGGACGCACCGCUGGUGUACCAGUUGUUCUGCCAAGGGCAUAGCUGGGUAGCUAUGUGCGGAAGGGAUAAGUGCUGAAAGCAUCUAAGCAUGAAGCCCCCCUCAAGAUGAGAUUUCCCAUAGCGUAAGCUAGUAAGAUCCCUGAAAGAUGAUCAGGUUGAUAGGUUCGAGGUGGAAGCAUGGUGACAUGUGGAGCUGACGAAUACUAAUAGAUCGAGGACUUAACCA
rnacentral:rRNA from 1 species